UCCCGCUGCGGGGCUCCCGGGCACCCGGGGCCCCUUGCCUGGGCAGCGCGGCGCGGCUGCGGGGCUCCGGCUCGCUCUCCGCUUUCCCUCCCGGUGGGACGGGGCGGAGCUGGACGAGGACGAGGGGGGCGGUGACGGAGGAGGCAGCCACGGCCCGGGUCGGAUCUCUCCUCCUCCUCCUUCAGUCGGUUUCAGCCGCCAUCUUCCCUCCCGUCACCGGCCCCUCGCCGCUGCCCGGCCCGGCCCGGCCUGACCCGAGCGGCAGCACCGCGGGGCGGAGGCGCUGGGGAAGCCGAGGGCCCGCCGCCCCCCGGGAAGGGUCACCUUCCGCAACAAGGCUUCACAGAAGACUCAUCACGUUCAUCUUGUGUUGGUGGUGUUCUCCACCUAGGCAUCAAAAAGACUGAAAUGUGCCUUGGAUCAGCUUGGAACACCGGAACAAAGUUUAGUAAGCAGUAUGGGAUGAUAGAUGGUCCCACGCAGACCUCAACCCGUCGUUUGGUCUCUUUACUGUCAUUUCUGGCUAUUUCCACGCAAAGCCGCUGCACAUGGAUAGACCACAAUUGUUCUGUCAACUAUUUUAUCACAUUCAAGCCGCAUCUGGUUACAUUAUUCAUCCUCUGUGUGGAUCUGUGAAAUCCCCAAACACCUCACGUCUCAUGAGGCAAAACAACUCAAUGGGUUUAACAGCUAAAAUAGACCAGAGCUUCAGGUGGCUCAUUUUCCUCCAUAAGGGCUCUUUAUUCCUCAGGCUUGAGAGUGCCUAUGUUACAACAAAACAAGUUGGCCUCAAAAGGCCCAGUCAAACACACAGCAUUGCAAAUCCACCCAGUGCUGUCACCCACAUUGUCCUCUGAUCUCAAUUUUUGUCUUCCUUGGAAAUCUGCACCUUUGUUCGGGUCUGCACAGCUACCUUUGAGGUUCUCUGCUUCCCAGAAAAAGCCCACGCAAGCUGUAUUUCAUAACUGGCUCCUUAUCUCUGGAGCACCUGUGAAGGGAAUGGGCAGGAUAAGCCUGAGUUAACCCUUCGGCAGGUAAAGAGCUAGGGAAUAUUGAUUGCAGGCUUAUUAGUUAUUUUGGGAUCUGUAAGACUUUUCUUGGACUAUUUUAUAUCAGUUGCAGCCGGGUUAACUGUGUGUGCAUAUUAUAUAAAAUGUUGUAUGUUGUGUCCAUCUUCAACUACACAAAUAGUAAACUUUUUUUUCAGUGUUUCAGGCCCAUGUGCGUGAGCAAAAGCAUCAGAAUGAGUGGGGAGGAGGUGAAGGUGCAAGACAGAGAUCAGUGACCUGGGAUCAUGCACCCACAACCAAUCUGCUGCUGCAAAACUCACACUGUCCACAAGCAGCGAGGGAAGGAAGCUGUGUAAAAGUCCCAGCGUCUUCCUGAGCUGCCAGCUCUCCACUGCCUCUGCAGGUUUAUGUACACUUUGGUUUUAUUCAGGCAAAAAACGCUCAGCCUUCACGACCAGAGCUUAAUGUUAGAAUAUUCCCCUCCAUGAAAUCCUCACGAGAAAGUAAUAUAGGAGCUAAUCUCAGGCAGUAGGGAUAUUGUAAGUUUUCACUGAUAUUAGCACUGAGAAGUAUAAGACCAUUUUUAUUACUUAAUCUGCAAGUUAAUUUUUAAAUGGAAUGCAGGUAUAAACAAUGCCGGGUUUAAGCACAUUACAGAGCUGUCAGGCUUUGACAAUUUAAAUGAAUGAGACUUCAAAAUGUAUUAUAGAAAAGAUUAAAUGCCUCCUCAAAAUACACACAAAAUAAAAAUGAAAUCCAUCAGCAAAAUUAAAUUACUUCAAAACUUACUACAAUUAAGUCUAAAACAAAGGCCUCUCCUACCAGGUAAGUGAUUUCGUGGUGGGUGAGACUUUAUCUGAAAGCAGCUUUAAUUUCCAGCUGACUUCAGAUGACAAAUAAUUUGCUAUUGUUAGAUCUUUUCUAGCCUGAGUACUUUGUAAAACAAGAUGAUACGAUUAACUUCAUUUUACAUAUACAAAGCAGUGUUUAAGAGGUUUAAGCAGAGGUCAAGCAACGUGUAAUGGAAUCACCAACCAAAACAGUGCCAGGGUCUCCUCUUUGUCCUGUUUCCUGCCAUAAGCCCUCUGUGUGACGCUGUCACUUGUAGCCCAUUUUUUCCUUACAACUUAUUUGGGCUAAAAGCCAUUUUCAAGCUUUAGUUCAGAUUAUGAAGUGGCCAAUUUUGAGUUUCUUGUAAACCACAAGGUAGCCAGAGUACAGUCAUUAAUAUAAGAAGGCAAAAUUAAUAAUAUGCAACUUUAAAAUUUCUUGGCCAAACUCAGCAUUGUAGUAAGUAAUAAAUAAUUUAUUUGAUGAUUGUAUUGCCUCCACUUAGUAUGAGGAUAGUUCUUUAGAGCUGAAUAUGGGCUUGAGUCUGUUUCAGGCUGAGCUUCUCUGUCAAUACCAACUUACUUACCCCCUAAAAAUGUAAUAGGAAAGUUCAGAUUGGUCUAAAUGGAGGGUUGAAUAGGAAUGCCAGGAGAGGGAACACCGGGAGGAGCAAAUGGUAGGAGAAGGGUACAAGAAUGGCAUUUGGUGAUGGCAUCUGGACUAGCAGGUUACCAGGACUGCAGCAUGCAUCUGCCUGCAUGGAGCCUGUCUACCUGUGAGAGCCAGAGGAAGGUCUUUCCAGAGGGUGAAUCAUCACUGUCAGCUCCAAUAGCUGAAAGGCCGCACAUGGAAGAAUUGAGACCCGAGGAUGAACAUCACUUGGCUUUCAGCUCAUCCUGAGGUGAAACAGAGCGAUGGACACAAGCACUUCAGCAUCUGAGGGUCCUACCUGGACACUGUGUGGUGCUUCAAGCAUGUAUGAUUCUGUGCUCAAAA